GACGAACGCUGGCGGCGUGCCUAAUACAUGCGAGUAGAACGCUGAAGGAGGAGCUUGCUUCUCUGGAUGAGUUGCGAACGGGUGAGUAACGCGUAGGUAACCUGCCUGGUAGCGGGGGAUAACUAUUGGAAACGAUAGCUAAUACCGCAUAAUAGUAGAUGUUGCAUGACAUUUGCCUAAAAGGUGCAAUUGCAUCACUACUAGAUGGACCUGCGUUGUUUUAGCUUGUUGGUGGGGUAACGGCUCACGAAGGCGACGAUACAUGACCGCCCGGAGAGGGGGGUCGGCCACCCUGGGACUGUGACACGGCCCAGUGUCCUUCGGGUGGCGGCGGUAGGGAAUCUUCGGCAAUGGGCGGAAGUCUGACCGAGCAACGCCGCGUGAGUGAACAAGGUUUUCGGGUCGUAAAGCUCUGUUGUAAGGGAAGAACGAGUGUGAGAGUGGAAAGUUCACACUGUGACGGUAUCUGACCAGAAAGGGACGGCUAACUACGUG
rnacentral:rRNA from 1 species